CAAUAGCGUAUAUUAAAGUUGUUGCAGUUAAAAAGCUCGUAGUUGGAUUUGUGGCGUACGGUGUGUUCCGGGCACUUGUGGUCUGAGUAACCUGCUGUUGCCAUCCUUGGGUGGAACCUGUGUGGCAUUAGGUUGUCGUGCAGGGGAUGCCCAUCAUUUACUGUGAAAAAAUUAGAGUGUUCAAAGCAGGCUUAUGCCGUUGAAUAUAUUAGCAUGGAAUAAUGAGAUAGGACUUUUUUGCUAUUUUGUUGGUUUGCGCAAAGAGGUAAUGAUUAAUAGGGACAGUUGGGGGUAUUCGUAUUCCAUUGUCAGAGGUGAAAUUCUUGGAUUUUUGGAAGACGAACUACUGCGAAAGCAUUUACCAAGGAUGUUUUCAUUAA
rnacentral:rRNA from 1 species